GUAGGUGGCAAGCGUUGUCCGGAAUUAUUGGGCGUAAAGCGCGCGCAGGCGGUUCUUUAAGUCUGAUGUGAAAGCCCACGGCUCAACCGUGGAGGGUCAUUGGAAACUGGAGAACUUGAGUACAGAAGAGGAAAGCGGAAUUCCGCGUGUAGCGGUGAAAUGCGUAGAGAUGUGGAGGAACACCAGUGGCGAAGGCGGCUUUCUGGUCUGUAACUGACGCUGAGGCGCGAAAGCGUGGGGAGCAAACAGGAUUAGAUACCCUGGUAGUCCACGCCGUAAACGAUGAGUGCUAAGUGUUAGGGGGUUUCCGCCCCCCUUAGUGCUGCAGCUAACGCAUUAAGCACUCCGCCUGGGAGUACGGCCGCAAGGCUG
rnacentral:rRNA from 1 species